rnacentral:rRNA from 1 species
GAUGAACGCUAGCGGCAGGCUUAAUACAUGCAAGUUGAGGGGCAGCAUGAUAUACGCGAGUAUAUUGAUGGCGACCGGCGGACGGGUGAGUAAUAGGUAGGAGACCUACCUCAUACAGGGGGAUAGCAUAGAGAAAUCUGUGGUAAUACCCCAUGAGGUUAUAUGAAUAGAGGCAUAUAAUCAAAGCAUAAGCGAUUAUGCGGUAUGAGAGGGGCCUACUGACCAUUAGCUAGUUGGUGAGGUAAGGGCUCACCAAGGCGAAGAUGGGUUAGGGGUUUUGAGAGAGAGACCCCCCACAUUGGAACUGAGAGACGGUCCAGACUCCUACGGGAGGCAGCAGUAGGGAAUAUUGGGCAAUGGGCGAAAGCCUGACCCAGCCAUGCCGCGUGAAGGAAGACGGCCUUAUGGGUUGUAAACUUCUUUACUACGCGAAUAGAGGUUAGUACGAGAUACUAAUAGGAAGGUAGUGUAAGUAAAAAGCACCGGCUAACUCCGUG